AUCAGUAACGUCACCUGCAGAUAGUAUUCUAUCUCCUUCGUAAUUCUCGGAAUCCAUUUCUUCACGGCUUCCACUGAAUUUAACGUCGCCUGCACACGAAAGCAUGGAUUAGCAAGCCACAAGCGAUUCAAUUUUCCAAGCUGCUUCUCUUCGUUUCUCGCCAUUCCAAACGGAUUUCCGGCAACAGGGAGUCAUAUGAAGUUCGAUCGAGGGUCACAUGACACGGGGAUGAGUACAUUCGAAUGUGCCAGGAACUAAACAAAUAACCCUCGUCUGCAGCCCACAGAAACUAACCAGGUUUGUUUAGAGUCCUGCUCUGGGUCGAGGCUUUGAACCUGAUCCUACAGACACACACACACACACACACAGUCAUUACUGUUCUAUGAAGUUGCUUUGGUAAAUUCCAGGGUAGCUAAUAAAUAAUCUAUUUAGACUGUUUCACAAGAACUUCAAUGAAAGGGACUUCCUCUGAGGCUGACCCUUACCUUAAUACUCUCUCUCUCUCUCUCUCUCUCUCUCUCUCUAUUUCUCUUUGUCAUACACACAUAUGUUUUUUCACAUCACAGUUACAAUUAUUGUUACAGUUUAAAGUCUAGUUUCAAUCGUAACAAAAACUGACAUACUGUCUGUAAUACGGUUCAAUAAACGGAAGGAGGCGGGAACCGGCGAACAUUUAAAUAAAGUUUAAUCAAAAACAAACAAACAAUACUAGUAAAAUGCCGGCAGCCACCUCAUGGUCGACUGCCAGCACCAAGAAC